AGAGAGAGAGAGAGAGAGAGAGAGAGAGAGAGAGAGAUUUGUUUACAAAAUACAAACGUUUCCAGCUGAGGCGACGAGCAGGAGAGGCGGAGAGGCACAGGCUAGCAACUUGUGAUCAACUGACGAACUGAGCAAGGGUGUGGUGAAGAUCACCAACUGAGGCUAUAUCUACACCUCAUCAGAAUGUAUGAAGACAAGCUCAUUCAGUUCAAGAAGCAGCUGCAACAGCUGCGUGACAACUUGCACCCAGAGUACAACAAAAAGCUGAAGAAGAUUGAUGUAGCCUACAAGGAAAGAUUCCCCAACAUAUCCAAAUUAGGAUGAUGCCUCGCAAUGGAGAACUUUUAUUUUGGCAUUUGGGAACCGUUACUCUGAGUGGAUACCCUUAACCUCAGACCGUGGCUAUGAUUUGAACCCAUGUGCCUGAGAAUCCAUUGUAACCCAACUGGCCGCACUACCACUGUACCAUGGCGGUACCCUAGCUGAUAUCUCUAUAUAUACAGUUAAAAGAAAAAAAGUGAGUCACAAAAAUCAGAACAAAGUAAAGUUCAAUGUAAUUGAUGCAAAAAUCAUUGAAUUAUUUUCAACUAGUUAAACUGUAUUUAUGGUUGAAAUACUACACACUUGUAUGUGUGUGUGUGCGUAUAUGUGUGUGUCUGUGCAUAUGUAAUGGACCACAAUGUUCUGAAUAAAAUCUCCAUGUUGAGGAUUUCAAGAAAACGUCAAG